rnacentral:misc_RNA from 1 species
GAUGAAGAACGCAGCGAAAUGCGAUACGUAAUGUGAAUUGCAGAAUUCAGUGAAUCAUCGAGUCUUUGAACGCACAUUGCGCCCCCUGGUAUUCCGGGGGGCAUGCCUGUCCGAGCGUCAUUGCUGCCCUCAAGCACGGCUUGUGUGUUGGGCCUCCGUCCUCCUCCCGGGGGACGGGCCCGAAAGGCAGCGGCGGCACCGCGUCCGGUCCUCGAGCGUAUGGGGCUUCGUCACCCGCUCUUGUAGGCCCGGCCGGCGCUUGCCGACACAUCAAUCUUUUUUCCAGGUUGACCUCGGAUCAGGUAAGGAUACCCGCUGAACUUAAGCAUAUCAAUAAGCGGAGGA